GGAGUGCCAUGCGGGCCUGCCGCCGCGGGGGAGGGGGCCGCGCACAGGCCCGGGACGGCACCGCCGGAGGGCUGGCCAGGAGGAGGGGACUCGGCAACCACGGAGAGAGCAACUAUGCAUUUUGUGAAGAAACUGCUCUACUUUAAAAGUGGUGGGAAGUACCAAGCCAUUUUUACUGAUGAUUUGCUGACUUUACAUCCAUGAAUGCUGCAUGAACAACUGCAAGAUUCAUGAGAAAAUUUAAGUACCAACUGUUGUCAAAACAAGUUUUGACCAGUUGUGUGUACAGAUGGGGUCUUCGGCAUCCUAGGAUGUUUGUGAAAACUAAAAAAGGGACCCCCUUUUCACAGUGGGAUGGCUUGUGAAAAAUCAGACCAGAGGGCUUGACUGUAUUAUAAACAUAUCACAACUCUGGGUGGGGGAAGCUUAUUCUUCGAAUUGCCUGCAUAGAGAACCUUGUUGUAAAGUUUCAUGUGUGGCAUGACAUUUCACUGGAGUUCACGUGAAUAAACUACCUUCCCAAACA